AUUUGAUAAAUAAUGUAGAUAAUUUUUAUGUUAGUGUAGGCAUUCACACCCGACAGAAGCACAAGCAUUUAAUCACAUUAGAGUUUAUUUUAAAUUUAAAACUGGUGGAAGGCUUGGAGAGUUCUGCAGGAGCACACCGGGAACUCUUUAAGGAGGACAGGUUACAUCACAAUAGAUAACGAGGAAGCGGACUCUUGGGCAGGCUUGAUGUGGUACACAGACGUCAGAGAAACUGUCAGUAAUGAAUCCAGAGGGUAAAACAGGAGGCAGGCAAGAGUCAUACACAAAGAGACAGAGAUCAGAUUACUUAUUCAGGUGGUCGGCACGAAAACAAGGUUCAUGUCCAGAGAUCAGAAGCUUGGUAGAAGUCAGGCAAGGCACAAGAAUCCUGGACACAGAAACAUGGUCGCAAUGAGGAGAUCAAACGGCGUCAAGGAAAACCCCUGAACAUCUACAAAGGUAUCACAUCUGCAGGAUGUUUCUCUGGUUUCUGCACCUCCACCAGCAGUGUUAGCCUUACUGGGAAAAUGGGUAACACCAUCAAUACAUGAGAGGAUCUCUGCAAGUGAAGAUUGAAGGGGUCACGCUCACAAAAUUUGAAUUCUGUGUUUUUCACUGAUAGCUGUGCUGAUCACAGUGAGAUAAUUGUUUUACAUUGCUGUUCGCACUUCCUCAUAGCUAAACAUGAUGCUGCAGUUUCUCUUUAACAUCAUGAGAAAUACAUUUUGUCACAAAACAACAAUAUAUCCUGCAGAAAUGGGCUAAAUUAGAAGUAUGAAAUCGUGAAAAGAAAAAUGUUUAAUUCAAAAUGUUUUGCCGUGUGUCUGAUUUUAAAACAUCAGAUUAAAACUUUAUAAUUUU